UACGUAGGGUGCAAGCGUUGUCCGGAAUUAUUGGGCGUAAAGAGCUCGUAGGCGGUUUGUCGCGUCUGCUGUGAAAAACGCGGGGGCUCAACUCCGCGCCUGCAGUGGGUACGGGCAGACUAGAGUGCAGUAGGGGGAGACUGGAAUUCCUGGUGUAGCGGUGGAAUGCGCAGAUAUCAGGAGGAACACCGAUGGCGAAGGCAGGUCUCUGGGCAUCUACUGACGCUGAGGAGCGAAAAGCAUGGGGGAGCGAACGGGG
rnacentral:rRNA from 1 species